GGUUACUGCUAUCGGUGUUCGCCUAAGCCAUGCGAGUCAUAUGUAGCAAUACAUGGCGUACUGCUCAGUAACACGUGGAUAACCUGCCCUUGGGUCCGGCAUAACCCCGGGAAACUGGGGAUAAUUCCGGAUAACGCAUAUAUGCUGGAAUGCUUUCUGCGUGAAAUGGAUUCGUCUGCCCAAGGAUGGGUCUGCGGCCUAUCAGGUAGUAGUGGGUGUAAUGUACCUACUAGCCUACGACGGGUACGGGUUGUGAGAGCGAGAGCCCGGAGAUGGAUUCUGAGACAUGAAUCCAGGCCCUACGGGGCGCAGCAGGCGCGAAAACUUUACAAUGCGGGAAACCGUGAUAAGGGGACACCGAGUGCCAGCAUCCUAUGCUGGCUGUCCGGGUGUGUAAAAUACACCUGUUAGCAAGGGCCGGGCAAGACCGGUGCCAGCCGCCGCGGUAACACCGGCGGCCCGAGUGGUGAUCGUGAUUAUUGGGUCUAAAGGGUCCGUAGCCGGUUUGGUCAGUCCUCCGGGAAAUCUGACAGCUCAACUGUUAGGCUUUCGGAGGAUACUGCCAGACUUGGAACCGGGAGAGGUAAGAGGUACUACAGGGGUAGGAGUGAAAUCUUGUAAUCCCUGUGGGACCACCUGUGGCGAAGGCGUCUUACCAGAACGGGUUCGACGGUGAGGGACGAAAGCUGGGGGCACGAACCGGAUUAGAUUCCCGGGUAGUCCCAGCCGUAAACGAUGCUCGCUAGGUGUCAGGCAUGGCGCGACCGUGUCUGGUGCCGCAGGGAAGCCGUGAAGCGAGCCACCUGGGAAGUACGGCCGCAAGACUGAAACUUAA
rnacentral:rRNA from 1 species